rnacentral:rRNA from 1 species
GAGUUUGAUCCUGGCUCAGGAUGAACGCUGGCGGCGUGCUUAACACAUGCAAGUCGAACGAGGAUUUAACGGAAUGCGAUUCGUCAAAUGAAAUUAAAUCCGAGUGGCGGACGGGUGAGUAACGCGUGGAUAACCUGCCUUACACAGGGGGACAACAGUUGGAAACGACUGCUAAUACCGCAUAAUAUGCGGAAGCCGCAUGGCUUCCGCGUCAAAGAUUUUAUCGGUGUAAGAUGGAUCCGCGUCUGAUUAGCUAGUUGGCGGGUAACGCCCACAAGGCGACGAUCAGUAGCCGACCUGAGAGGGUGACCGGCCACAUUGGGACUGAGACACGGCCCAAACUCCUACGGGAGCAGCAGUGGGAAUAUUGCACAAUGGGCCAAGCCUGAUGCAGCGACGCCGCGUGAAGGAUGAAGUAUUUCGGUAUGUAAACUUC